rnacentral:SRP_RNA from 1 species
GCUAGGCGUGUUGGUGCACGCCUGUAAUCCCAGCUACUUGGGAGGCUGAGGCAGGAGAAUCGCUUGGACCCAGGAGGCCAAGGUUGCAGUGAGCCGAGAUCAUGCCACUGCACUCCAGCCUGGGUGACAGAGCGAGACUCCAUCUCAA